rnacentral:misc_RNA from 1 species
GCGCUGAUCUGAGCAGAGGCAAGAAAAUCUCAGUUGUUUCGGAAAAUUGAAAGCGUUCGCUAGUGUUUAGAGCGCAAAGUGUGCGGUUUUGUGCGAAAGAAAGGUUUUGCCGAGUUUUAACGGGGACGUAGACGAAGACGACGUCGUCGGUGGUAAACGAAAGUUAUGACAAGUAUCCAAAAAAUGAAUUUGUGUUGAAAAUGCAGCUAGUGAUUGUGAAAUCGUACGCAACUUGAAGCAGUGAGAGUGCCCAAAAUUGUAUUAAAAAGGAGUAAAUGGAAAAUAAGUGCAUAACAGUGAAUAAGAAUACUUCUAAAUCUAAAUAAAUAAUGUUGGUAUAAAAUAUUUCAAGCAAAAUCAAAAGAAAUAAAGGAACGAAAAGCCUCACAAAUAUCCUGAUUAGAUUUUGGUAAUAAACAACACGAAGAAUACCUAAAUGUGCAAACUGUCGAGAAGACGUAAACAAUAGCACGUCUACACAACAAACCAACGCAAACUGCACACGCUGCUUACUAACUGCUUGCAAAUUACAACAACCACACUUCAAAUGACACGGUGAAGAGCUAGAAUAAAAAGGAUUUGCAAAUAAAAUAUUGAAAAUCAAAUGCAAAUUGUAAAUUUCACCGAACAAAUAGAGCAAAACGCAGAAAAAAGCAGGGAAAGCCAGCGAAAGACUGCGCCAAUCAGCGGUGGAAAAUACGAAAUGCGUCGGAAAAAUAUCUAAAUAAAAGCAAUUUUCAAUGGAAAAUACGUAAAUGCGAAGUGGGAACCCCGUUAAAAGCACACAAAUCGCAUUGCCUUGCAGUGAGUGAAGUCAAAGCGAAAAGUGUAAAAAAUAAUUGGCAGUGGAUAAAAAAGUGUCAAAUGCGAAGCCAAAAUAAAAAGUGACGAGCAAAACGACGAGCGAAUGCACAACGUGAAGUGCAAAGCGAAUGUACGACAGUGACGGGUGUUACGCGGGGAGCGAAAUAGUGGCUUGUGGCUGCGACGGUUGAUCGGGUUGAUACGUUGCGGAAAAUCCUUUGUUUUCACCUUGGCUUUCCGGCCAAAGCUGGCAACUACACAGGCGCACAAAAAUAAAAAAAAAAUAAAUUGAAAUCAUAAGCUCUCGACAAAUUCAAAUACGGUACAACCGAUGUGUGUCCUCCGCCUCAUAUGCGCCAUCUAAAUACGUAAACGCGCGUAAGAACGAAAUCGAAUACUCGCAUGCCUUUUAUGGAAAUACCCGCCGACUAGCUUAACAAUAACAAUAACAACUGGCAAUCUGCGCCGCGAAACGUGCGGAAAAUUUCGUUGCUGCACAUUGCCAACCGAAAGGCAUACCUAGCGAAAAAACCCACUGUAACCGCGACCGAACGGCUGCCGGUAAACGCCACACUACAAUCCCGAUUUCAUGAUUUUACGCCACACAGCAGACGCAACCGUUUAAGGCUCACUGCCUAGUCGCCUGCCGUGUGUCGCUGCGUUUGUGUGGCUGCGGUAUUUUCGGUGCGUCGUCGCCGUCGUGUUUGUUGUGGAAAUUUGGCAAUUUCACAGGCGCAACGGUGCGCACUUUAGCCUUGAAACCGCAUAGCACACAAUCGGGCGUUCGGCAUUUCACAUACCCGUACGUAUAAAGAACGCUUGAAUCGCAUUGAAUAGUGCAGUCGGUUUAAGGUCGCUUAACUGUUGGCGUUUACCAGCAAACAAUCGCAUUAAAAUUUACGUACUCAACGUUUGUAACGGAUUGCUGUAAUCAACGGCGUAUCGCGCCUCUACCAUUCAAUUGAAUCUUGGCAGGCGAAGUAACUAAGUUUUACAGUGUGUCGCGGUGUUUCCGCUGUGCCCUCUAACGCGUCGCGGUAAAACGUGUUGAUGAACUGCAAUUUAGUAUUAACGCUCAAAUACUUUUCUGUUGUUGCUGUUGUUAAACAAUAAUGUCAUCAAAAUGUGGAUUAAACCUGAUUUUCGUGUCGAUCAUUUUCAUUAUCAUCGUAAAUGGCUACGCAAAAGACAUUUCCGGAAUUGAAAGAGAUCAUCGUCGACUCAACGAAUACAUAUCGCACUAUGAAGUACUCAACUAUGAUCAUGAACACAUCCGAACUAGUCACAAUAGAGCGAGACGAUCCGUGACCAAAGAUCAUCAUGUAGAUUUAAAAUUUUCAGCACACGGAAGACACUUCCAUCUUAGGCUAAAGCGUGAUUUAAAUACAUUUAGUGAUAAGUUAGAGUUUUAUGAUAGCAACAAUCUCCCCCUGGAUGUGUCCACCGAUCACAUCUAUGAGGGCGAAGUGAUAGGGGAUCGUAAUAGUUAUGUAUUUGGUUCCAUACUGGACGGGGUAUUCGAGGGUAAAAUAAUAACAGAACGUGAUGCCUAUUAUGUCGAACAUGCCAAACGAUAUUUUCCAACAACAACAAAUGCAACAACAGCAGCUGCGGAUGGCGCACAAAUGCCAUUGGCACAGCGACGCGUUGCAGAACAAUAUUUUGCAGCAACAACAACAACAUCAACGUCGCCGGCGACGAGCCCAACAACAACAACAUCGCCAGCGCCAAAAACAACAACCACCACAACAACGGCGCGUAUGCGGACAACGUCUGAGAGAACAGUGAAAGCGUCUCCAACGUCCGGAGGAAAUCAUAAAAACGGACAAACUGAUGACAAUCGGAAUACUGGCUUCCAUUCCAUUAUUUACAAGGAGUCGCAUGUCGACGAUGCUUACAAGGACGUGCGUGAAGGGCAUGUUGGUGGUUGCGGCAUCACCGAGGAAGUUUCCCAAUGGAUGGAGAGCAUACAAAAUUCUGCCGUCGAAGAGUUGCCAGAACCGAUGUCGAAGGACGAUGUUAGCCAACAAAAGCAACAGCACAAAUUAAUCAAACCGAACAGCGCGCGAAUGACACAAACGCAAGAUGCUGCAGAACAAGCCGGAGAUAAUGCUGCACAGCCGACAAGCAAGAAGCAUAAAAAACCUACUGCCGCAUCAGCAACAGCAACAGGCGGAACAAACGCGCAACAGCGUCCACCGAAAAAAUACUCAAGUCCUACAACAGCCUCAACGACGUCGUCGUUGCCAACAGCGGGCGGCAACUCAAGGACAGCCAGCAGCAUCGUUGGCGAGGAUGACUUCAAAUAUCCUUAUCAAAAAUACUCCAAAGCUGCAAAUUUUCGCUUCGAUGACGACGGUGACGCGUGGCGGCCAUUUUCGCCGAAGGCACAAUCCGAUGAUAUUUAUGGCCUGCCAAGCGGCAGCGGUAGCGGCUACUCUGGCGCAUUUUAUGACCCGGAAACAGGGCGCAAGUAUACGCCGCAAAACAUGGAUCGUGACGAAUGGCAUGCGAAGGUGCAUGAACGUGUGCGUCGCGCUACCGCCGCUAAUCCGAAUGAGAACAAGAAUACCUGUUCACUGUACAUACAAACGGAUCCGUUGAUUUGGCGGCACAUACGCGAAGGAAUUGCUGAUCAUGAUCGUGGCCGCAAAUAUGAGGUUGACGUAAAGACGCGUGAAGAGAUCACUUCAUUAAUCGCACAUCAUGUAACUGCCGUUAAUUAUAUAUAUCGCAAUACGAAAUUCGAUGGACGUAGCGAGCACCGCAACAUACGAUUUGAGGUGCAACGCAUAAAAAUCGAUGACGACUCCGCUUGUCGCAAUUCAUACAAUGGUCCGCACAAUGCCUUCUGCAAUGAGCACAUGGAUGUGUCGAACUUUUUGAAUUUGCAUUCGCUGGAGGAUCACUCUGACUUUUGUUUAGCCUAUGUGUUCACUUAUAGAGACUUUACCGGCGGCACGCUGGGCCUAGCUUGGGUAGCCAGCGCCUCUGGUGCUUCGGGUGGCAUUUGUGAGAAAUUCAAGACUUACACCGAAACCGUCGGUGGGCAAUAUCAAAGCACAAAACGCUCGUUAAAUACGGGUAUCAUAACAUUCGUCAACUAUAAUAGUCGUGUGCCGCCGAAGGUGUCACAACUGACGCUGGCGCACGAGAUCGGUCACAAUUUCGGAUCACCGCACGACUAUCCGCUGGAAUGUCGUCCUGGCGGUCUCAACGGAAACUUUAUUAUGUUUGCUAGCGCGACCUCUGGCGAUAGACCGAAUAAUUCCAAAUUCUCACCGUGUUCCAUACGCAAUAUCUCCAAUGUACUCGAUGUUUUGGUGGGCAAUACGAAACGUGACUGCUUCAAGGUAUCGGAGGGCGCUUUCUGUGGAAACAAGAUCGUCGAAUCCGGCGAAGAGUGCGAUUGUGGUUUCAACGAGGAGGAAUGCAAGGACAUUUGCUGCUAUCCACGUAUCAUCAGCGAAUACGACCUAUCGAUGAACAGUUCGGCGAAGGGUUGCACGCGUCGCGCCAAAACGGAAUGCUCACCAUCACAGGGACCUUGUUGUCUGUCGAACUCAUGCCAGUUUGUGCCAUCGAACAACCACCAGAAAUGCAAAGAAGAGACGGAAUGUUCCUGGUCGAGCACAUGCAAUGGCACCACAGCCGAGUGUCCGGAGCCAAAGCCGCGUGAUGAUAAAACAAAAUGCAACAACGGCACUGCGCUCUGCAUACGCGGUGAAUGCUCUGGCAGUAUUUGUCUGCUAUGGAAUAUGACCGAGUGUUUCCUCACCUCGCAGGCGGUGCCGCAUGUUGACAAGCGUCGCUUGUGCGAACUCGCCUGCCAGAAUGGCAAUGAUACUGGCACCUGCCGUAGUACUAGUGAAUUCGCGCAUCAAUUUGGACUGCCAGAGGGUGGCAUUAACCUGCGGCCUGGUUCACCAUGCGACAACUUCCAGGGCUAUUGUGAUGUAUUUCUCAAAUGUCGCGCCGUUGACGCGGAUGGACCGCUGGUGCGACUGAAGAAUUUAUUGCUGAAUCGCGAAACUUUACUGACCGUUGCGCAGUGGGUCACCGAGUAUUGGUACUAUGUAGUUAUAAUGGGCGUUGGCUUUAUAAUUGUGAUGGGCAUAUUCAUUAAGUGCUGCGCCGUGCACACGCCCAGCUCGAAUCCGAAGAAGCGUCGCGCGCGUCGCAUUAGCGAAACAUUACGCGCGCCUAUGAAUACGCUACGCCGCAUGCAGCGUCAUCACCAAGGGCGCGGUGCCGGACCACGCAGCAUACCACCGCCUGCGCACGAACAACGCGGCGGCGUGGCGACCAACAGCCAUCAUCGCAGCGCGCAUCCGCAUCAUUGGGACCGUCAUCAGGGUGGUCACUCCGUGGUGCCACUGCCUACCGGCGGUCCACAACACAGUCACCAUCACGCUUCAGGGCGUACAUCAGCAAGCGGCGCAACAGCUGCAGCAGCAAGCGGGCGUGCGCCAGCUAAUGGACGUGGCUCGCGGCCGUCAACGCGCCCCACGAGCGGUACACGCAGCACAACACAUGGCGGGUAUGCAGAUGUGCCGCCACCUGGUCUUAUAGUCGGUGGUGUAGCCACUGGCGUCAGUAGUGGUGGUGGUGUUGGUGUUGGAGUUAGUGGUGGUGUGCCCAAUGGUGCGCUGUUAGUUAGCGGUGGUAGUGGCGGCGGCGUUGGUGGAGGGCCCAGCGCUGGUGUGAUAGCACGUCAGCAAAUGCCGUUGCCACUGCCGCCAACCGGCGCGGUACAAGCGCAACAACAACAACAGCAACAACAAGUGCAGGCAACGCUCUCGCAAGCAUAUUAUGCGCCGCCGAAAGCACCGGCCACCAAACGAAAUAAAUCCCGUAAUCCAGCAGCACACACCUCUUCGGCUGCCGCUGCUAGGCGCUCUUCCAAAGAGUCGCCGCAGCGCGCACAGCAGGCCGUCGCCAAAAAAACCCGCAAGGUCGUUUACUGAACCCAUAUACGUGUACCCACAGAUCUCCACACCACAACAAAUGCUCUAUAUAGAUAUUUUUCCACGUUCUCACUCUCACCAAAUUGCCGUCGUUCCGCAACCAGCAAAUUAUAAUCGGCCGCCAUCGCUGCAUAAUCCCGAGCUGUAUGCGGAUGCCUAUGCCGCGCUGGGGCG